rnacentral:rRNA from 1 species
GGAAGGGAUGUAUUUAUUAGAUUAAAAACCAAUGCCCUAUGCUCGCUGAUGAUUGAUUCAUGAUAACUCCUCGAAUCGCAUGGCCUUGUGCCGGCGAUGGUUCAUUCAAAUUUCUUCCCUAUCAAUGCUCGUAGUAGUGGUAUUGGCCAAACAUGGAUGCCUGCUGUAACGGAGGGUUAGGGCUCGACCCCGGAGAAGGAGCCUGAGUUACGGCUACUAUGCUCGCUGCUGACAGUUGGCGCGAUCGCUGAUAUGCUCGGACACAAGGAGGUAGUGACAAUAAAUACUGAUACAGGGCUCUUUUAAGUCUUGUAAUUGGAAUGAGUACAAUUUGGAUCCCUUAACGAGGAACAAUUGGAGGGCAAGUCUGAUCGUCGUAGAUGCUCGUAGUAGAGCUCCAAUAGCGUAUAUUAAAGUUGUUGUGGUUACCAAGCUCGUAGUUGAACCUUAAGCCUGGCCGAUGAUAGUGAAUGCUCGCUGAUACUGGCUCGGCCGGGCCAUGCUCGCUGAUGCUCGAGCCCUUCACUGGGCGUGGCGGGGAAACAGGACUUUUACAUGCUAGGUCGCUGAUGA